GGGUCAGUAGGUUGGUCGUGCCACCGGUACGUACUGGUCUCACUGAUUCCUCCUUCCUGAAGAACCGUAAUGCCACUAAUUUGGUGUUGCGGGGAAACAGGACUGUUACUUUGAAAAAAUUAGAGCGUUUAAGGCAAGCUAACGCUUGAAUACAUUAGCAUGGAAUAAUGAAAUAGGACGAUCGAUCCUAUUUUGUUGGUUUCUAGGAUUGACGUA
rnacentral:rRNA from 1 species